UGGGGAAUAUUGGACAAUGGGCGAAAGCCUGAUCCAGCCAUGCCGCGUGUGUGAAGAAGGCCUUUUGGUUGUAAAGCACUUUAAGCGAGGAGGAGGCUACUUGGAUUAAUACUCUAGGAUAGUGGACGUUACUCGCAGAAUAAGCACCGGCUAACUCUGUGCCAGCAGCCGCGGUAAUACAGAGGGUGCGAGCGUUAAUCGGCUUUACUGGGCGUAAAGCGUGCGUAGGCGGCUUCUUAAGUCGGAUGUGAAAUCCCUGAGCUUAACUUAGGAAUUGCAUUCGAUACUGGGAAGCUAGAGUAUGGGAGAGGAUGGUAGAAUUCCGUGUGUAGCGGUGAAAUGCGUAGAGGUCUGGAGGAAUACCGAUAGCGAAGGCAGCCAUCUGGCCUAAUACUGACGCUGAGGUACGAAAGCAUGGGGAGCAAACAGG
rnacentral:rRNA from 1 species